rnacentral:rRNA from 1 species
GCGGUGCCGUCCGGCUUCAAGCGUAGUAAUCUACUCUCGCUCUGGAGCUCCGGGCGGUUGCCUGCCAGCAACCCCAAUUUUUACCACAGGUUGACCUCGGAUCAGGUAGGGAUACCCGCUGAACUUAAGCAUAUCAAUAAGCGGAGGAAAAGAAACCAACAGGGAUUGCCUCAGUAACGGCGAGUGAAGCGGCAUCAGCUCAAAUUUGAAAUCUGGCCUCACGGCCCGAGUUGUAAUUUGUAGAGAAUGCUUCGGGCGAGGUCCGGUCUAAGUUCCUUGGAACAGGACGUCAUAGAGGGUGAGAAUCCCGUAUGCGACCGGUCGCCUCCGCCCAUGUGAAGCUUCUUCGACGAGUCGAGUUGUUUGGGAAUGCAGCUCAAAAUGGGUGGUAUAUUUCAUCUAAAGCUAAAUACUGGCCAGAGACCGAUAGCGCACAAGUAGAGUGAUCGAAAGAUGAAAAGCACUUUGGAAAGAGAGUUAAACAGUACGUGAAAUUGUUGAAAGGGAAGCGCUUGCAACCAGACUUGCGCGCAGCCGAUCAUCCGGUGUUCUCACCGGUGCACUCGGUUGCGCUCAGGCCAGCAUCGGUUCCGGCGGUUGGAUAAAGGCCUUGGGAAUGUAGCUCCCCUCGGGGAGUGUUAUAGCCCUUGGUGCAAUGCAGCCUGCUGGGACCGAGGACCGCGCU